rnacentral:lncRNA from 10 species
GGGACUACAGGCGCCUGCAACCACGCCCGGCUAAUUUUUUGUAUUUUUAGUAGAGACGGAGUUUUUUAGUAGAGACGGGGUUUCACUGUGUUAGCCAGGACGGUCUCGAUUUCCUGACCUCGUGAUCCGCCCGCCUCGGCCUCCCAAAGUGCUGGGAUUACAGGCGUGAGCCACCGCGCCUGGCCUAUUAAAUCCUCUUUAAGGUGGAAUAUAAUUGACAAGCCGACAUCAGUCUCCAGAGUGAAUCCAAGGAGUGGACCCAAGACAUUUGUGUUCUGUGAUGUGGUGGCAUGUUACCUGUCAUCUCCGAUGCAUAACUCCUAAAGUGCGUCUGGGGCAGUUGUACAGAUUGCAGAGGAUAAUACUCAAGAUGUUCUCCAAGGCCAACUAGUCAUCAGUUUAUUCAUGUUUCUGGGAUUGGAUUCAUGAACUCAUCCUUUGAACUAUUUCAACAAGCUUUUUCAUGUAACUAAUCUGCGGAAGGUAGAAAGGGGAAAACUGUUGGGUGCUAAAAUGACAACUGGUUCA